rnacentral:rRNA from 1 species
GACGAACGCUGGCGGCGUGCCUAAUACAUGCAAGUAGAACGCUGAAGGAAGGAGCUUGCUCUUUCUGGAUGAGUUGCGAACGGGUGAGUAACGCGUAGGUAACCUGCCUGGUAGCGGGGGAUAACUAUUGGAAACGAUAGCUAAUACCGCAUAAAAUUGAUUAUUGCAUGAUAGUCAAUUAAAAGGUGCAACUGCACCACUACCAGAUGGACCUGCGUUGUAUUAGCUAGUUGGUGGGGUAACGGCUCACCAAGGCGACGAUACAUAGCCGACCUGAGAGGGUGAUCGGCCACACUGGGACUGAGACACGGCCCAGACUCCUACGGGAGGCAGCAGUAGGGAAUCUUCGGCAAUGGACGGAAGUCUGACCGAGCAACGCCGCGUGAGUGAAGAAGGUUUUCGGAUCGUAAAGCUCUGUUGUAAGAGAAGAACGAGUGUGAGAGUGGAAAGUUCACACUGUGACGGUAUCUGACCAGAAAGGGACGGCUAACUACGUG